rnacentral:lncRNA from 1 species
CCCUGAGAUCAUUAUGAAGGAACAGCACCCAAACAAAAUCUCACUUGGUCCUUCUACCACCAAAUGAUUCAUUUAGGAAAUAGUGACUGAUGUUGUGUCUAGACAGUGGAAGCUAGAUGGUUCACUAGUUAAGAGUGUUAGGCAUCAAGUGAGGAACAUUAGAGUAAAAAUCCUGUCUCAGUCCCUUCCUUGCUGCAGUAUGUUGGAGGCUGUUAGGUGAUGCAGUGAAUGGAGUGUUCUUGAAGUUAGGAAGAAAUGAGUUCAAAUAAAGCCUUAGACAAUAAAUUAACUGUAUGUCCUUGGCAUACACUGUGCCCUUGGAUAGUGAAGAUGAUUCCUUUACAAUCGGUUGCCAGGUUAGUGGUCAAAUUCCCCCUUGUAUUGCUGCAAGAACACUCUCAUUAAUACUGCAUCACUUGUCCUUUGCAAAUCUUUUGUUGUUGAUGCUGUGAACUCAUGUGAUAAGAAUGAAGAG